rnacentral:lncRNA from 1 species
GAGGUAAAAGACCCAAGUAUGAAUAUGAUGAUGAUUCAAGCGAUUCUUUUGAUCCUUAUUGGGUGGAAGAAAAGGUCGAUUCUGUUGUUGCUAGAAUGUCGCAACUUAACAAAUCAAAUCCAUCGAGGUCUCUGAAUAGUAUGGCAGCGAAGCGUCCAUUUUUUCUAUACGGAAACGUGGCUAACAUAUCUUACGACUCAUGGGUAAAAUUGUCUCAGUUCUUAUAUGGUGUUGAACCUGAGUUUGUGAACAAUCAGUUAUUUUCAGCCUUGAAUAGAAUUGAAGGCUAUAUACACAAUCUUCCAGUUGAAAACAGGUUCCACAUCCUUCCGAAGCCACCUAUGACCAUUGAGGAUGUUCUUCCGCGGACAAAGAAAUGGUGGCCACCUUGGGAUUCAAGAAAGCAGUUGAGCUGCAUCAAUUGUGAAACUAGAGGUGUAGCUCAACUUUGUGACAGGCUAGGAAAGUUUCUAGCUGAUUCUGGCGGAGUACCCUCGUCUGAACAGCAGAGAGACAUUCUUCGCUAUUGCCGUGGAUUGAAUCUUGUGUGGACUGGUAAAUACAAACUGGGUCCGGUAGAGCCUGAACACUUGGAGCUUAUCUUAGGCUACCCUUCGAAUCACGUUGGUUCUGUCGAGAGUGAUUUGGCCGAAAGACUUAAAUCACUAAAAUACUGCUUCCAGACAGACACAUUGGGAUAUCAUCUUUCUGUUUUGAAACCUGUUUUUCCUAGUGGACUGACUAUGUUGUCACUUUUCAGUGGAAUUGGUGGAGCAGAAAUUGCCUUGCACCGCCUUGGUAUAAAAAUAAAAGCUCUCGUCUCAGUUGAGACUUCUGAGAAAAAGAGGAGGAUUCUCGAGAGGUGGUGGCGUAGUUCGGGACAAACGGGGACUUUGGUUCAGAUUGAAGAGAUUCAGAAGUUGACUAGUAAAAAACUUCAGAGCCUAAUUAGUAAAUUGGGUGGCUUUGACCUGGUAAUUUAUCAGAGCCCAAGUCCUAGGGGUGGUGAAAGUAUCGCAUCUGUAGAUUUUUCAGUGUUUCAUGAAUGUGUUCGUGUUUUGCACCGUGUAAGAGGUUUGUGUGAAAGAAUGUGACUCGGAUCUUGUUGUAAAUUAUGUCAGAUUAUAUGCUUUGGUUGCAUGCCCUGUUCUUGACAAAGGCAGCUGCUACAAAUUGUGACAUCAUGUAAAAUUUUCAAUGCAGGAAAUUUUAGCAGUAUUGUUCGGAUCUAUAAUAUGUUAGUUAAUGCAUUAGUAGAGAUAUUAUAGAUUAUUAUUGCUCUAUCCUGUUUUCAUGGUGGAUCACUGUCUGAAUAAAGCCAUGGUGAAAAACCACAGUAUUGCCAAAAUCAAUGGUAGAAACAAUAAAAGCUAAGGUAGACAGUAGACACCAAUGUUCAUUGAAUCAGACACCGGUUUAAGUGUAUGACAAUGACGAGCCAUUUCAUGUGGUCAUUUAGUAUAUGCAUAUUGUAGAAUAACCCAAAUUUUUAAUUUUCUUACCUUUGUAUUUAACUAUGAGAUCAACCCGUCAAAAAAAAAACUAUGAUAUCAACCCGUGCAAUGCUUUAUGAUUUUAAAAAUUUGCACUAUUUUUUUUUACGGAAAUACGAUUUUCAUUGAAAAUGAAAGGUCAAAAUAUUCGACCGAAUACAAACAUUGAAAACUUGAGGGAAACCCAAACCUCAUCUCUAAUAGAUUCGGAGUACUUAGUUAUGGUGUGAGCCACCUUAUUUGCUUCCCUAUAAACAUGACUAAAAGAAAUAGAAGAAAAACUAGGAAUUAAACUCCUAAUCUUAGCAACAAGAGGUGCCAAGUAAGAAUUAUGAUGAGCCUGGCCAGUAAUUGCACGAAUCACCUUCUCUGAAUUGGAUUCAACCUUCAACUUCAGAUAGCCAUAUGCGACACGCGACAGCUAACUUGAGUCCCUGCUGAAUAGCAAUGGCCUUCGCAAAGUCAACCCCCAGAUCAAACAAACAAGAUAGCGAUGCAGCCAAUCGAGCCUCCCAAUGACUAUCCAUGAAAAUCAUCCCAUUCCGCUACACAUCCCCCACCUUCGCUGCAUCCACAUUCAACUUGACAUGCUCGCAUCAGGCGGCUUCCAUCAACUAUCACGAGACACACCCACCACCGGCUCCUGUGGACGAAGAGAAGCUCUGGCAGCUUGAUAAUCACGAAGCUCCUCCAUCGAUUUAGCUGCAGUACCGCGUUCAUCCACAACUCUUCGGCUUCAAAACAGGCUAGAUUAUGAGGACAUGUAGGUAUACAUAUAAAUAUUUACCUUCUUCAACGCAUGUUGAAGUAAGUUAUGCGGAAGGAAGUGCACAUGCUUCACCUACCUCAAAAGCGGGUGUUUCAUCGUCUCAUGGGAUUGAGUUGCCUGAGUUGUCUAAGACAACUCAAAUAAGUGAAAUAACUCACUCUCAUUUGAUUAGGCACGUUAUCCUUUAUGUUUCGACAAUUUUGAAUAUGAACAAGAACUUUCUAGUUUUUCUUAUAGACAUUCAUAUCAAAAAAAAAGUUAUGACUAGAGUCAUUUCAUGUGGUCAUUUAGCAUGUGCAUAUUGUAGAAUGACAUAAAUUUUUUAUUUUCUUAACUUUGUAUUUAACGUUAAAAUAUAAUAUAAAAUCAUUCAUUUAGCUCUUACCCGAAGGUAAAUGUCACAUGAAUGAUUUUAUAUUACUUCUCUAACAAUAUUAACAUGUGCGAUGCUUGACCGCUUUUAUGAUUAUAAAAAUUUGAACUACUUUUAAUAAACCACAUGUAGGUAUAAAUAUUAAAAAAAAAUAUGUCUUUGUUAAAGUUCGAAAAUGCUAUGUAGUCAUUUCUUUUAUCAAGACUAACCAGUUUUCUCUUAGUCUCAGGUUCUUGAACUUACUAGUUGGUUAUUUUUCAGGUGCAGAGGCUCCAAUUUCAGAGCUCGCAAACUUUAUUUUUGCAGAACAAAAUGUGAUUGAUUAUGUAAUGGAAUACAAGGUGAGAUUUUAUUAUUUGUUUUUCACUUUGUGUUUAGUCCUUUAUAUUGAAAUGCUGGAAUUUAACUAUGAUAAUCAUUGCAUGGAUAUGUUUCAAAUAUCCAAUGUUCAUGAAAAAUGUCGUCAGGUGCUAACUAGUAUGCAGAACUGUACCAAAAGAAAAACUUAGGGGUAGAAAUAAUUUUACAAUAUCAAAAUUUCACAUAAAUGAGUGAACUUUGCUUUUAUAUGUAUAUUAUGUUCUUAUUUAAAUGUUGUAUGAAUGUCUGAAAUCAACAGUAGUGCUAAGAAACCUAUUAAAUGAAGUUAAGGACAUAUUUGGCAUAUGGUAGACUAAAAUGGUACUGUCCCCAGUUAUUAUUUAGUAAUAAUAAUCAUUGAGGUAUUAUUGAAUGAUGAAUUUUCUUGCUUGUCUAGUAUCCCUGGAUCAAAGAGGAACAACAUAGCGAUAUGUAUGAUACAGCGGAAGUGAAACCUGAGGAUUUUAGCGAUGAACCUUCACAAUCAAGGCAGGUCAACUUGGAGGAAACUUACAAUGGUAAAAGGGUGAAGGAAGAGGGUAUUGAUGAAAUUCCCAAUGCUGUUUCUGACAUGGGAUAUUUUGAUCUUGCGGAGAAUGAUAGAGGUAAAAGACCCAAGUAUGAAUAUGAUGAUGAUUCAAGCGAUUCUUUUGAUCCUUAUUGGGUGGAAGAAAAGGUCGAUUCUGUUGUUGCUAGAAUGUCGCAACUUAACAAAUCAAAUCCAUCGAGGUCUCUGAAUAGUAUGGCAGCGAAGCGUCCAUUUUUUCUAUACGGAAACGUGGCUAACAUAUCUUACGACUCAUGGGUAAAAUUGUCUCAGUUCUUAUAUGGUGUUGAACCUGAGUUUGUGAACAAUCAGUUAUUUUCAGCCUUGAAUAGAAUUGAAGGCUAUAUACACAAUCUUCCAGUUGAAAACAGGUUCCACAUCCUUCCGAAGCCACCUAUGACCAUUGAGGAUGUUCUUCCGCGGACAAAGAAAUGGUGGCCACCUUGGGAUUCAAGAAAGCAGUUGAGCUGCAUCAAUUGUGAAACUAGAGGUGUAGCUCAACUUUGUGACAGGCUAGGAAAGUUUCUAGCUGAUUCUGGCGGAGUACCCUCGUCUGAACAGCAGAGAGACAUUCUUCGCUAUUGCCGUGGA